rnacentral:rRNA from 1 species
GAGUUUGAUCUUGGCUCAGGACGAACGCUGGCGGCGUGCCUAAUACAUGCAAGUCGAGCGAGCUUGCCUAGAUGAUUUUAGUGCUUGCACUAAAUGAAACUAGAUACAAGCGAGCGGCGGACGGGUGAGUAACACGUGGGUAACCUGCCCAAGAGACUGGGAUAACACCUGGAAACAGAUGCUAAUACCGGAUAACAACACUAGACGCAUGUCUAGAGUUUGAAAGAUGGUUCUGCUAUCACUCUUGGAUGGACCUGCGGUGCAUUAGCUAGUUGGUAAGGUAACGGCUUACCAAGGCAAUGAUGCAUAGCCGAGUUGAGAGACUGAUCGGCCACAUUGGGACUGAGACACGGCCCAAACUCCUACGGGAGGCAGCAGUAGGGAAUCUUCCACAAUGGACGAAAGUCUGAUGGAGCAACGCCGCGUGAGUGAAGAAGGGUUUCGGCUCGUAAAGCUCUGUUGGUAGUGAAGAAAGAUAGAGGUAGUAACUGGCCUUU